UUUCUUGAGCACGAGGUCACCUUCUCAGAACACUUGAGGCUUGACCUUCUUAUCGAAUGCUUUCUUCAUUCUCUGCUGAUAUAACUGACCAUGGCACAUGGCAGUUAAUCACUUCUCUUCAAUUAAAUUCAGCUGGUCAUAACGACUCUGAACCCAUUCAGCAUCAGUCAACUUGGGGUUUGAGGGUAUACUUUUCUUUUAUUUUUCUUUCUUUUUUAUUUUGAUUUUGAUUUUUUUAUUUUUCACCCCCUAUUUUUUUUUAUUACAUUUGUAAUGCCCCAGUUUGACUGUUUCUGGGUUCUCGAGAUGCGGCUGAAUGAUCUUCUUUUCGUGCUCAAGGAGACGAGUGAU
rnacentral:lncRNA from 1 species